AAAAAGCCAAACUCUGGAUUUCCGUGUCCAACUUUGACUAUCCAUCUCAUAUAAAUUUUUUUUAUAAUUUGUAUUUUUAUUGUUAUUAGAUGAUAAAAUAUGAUUAAUAUUUUAUGUGUGACUUGUCUUUUUAAUUUUUUUUAUAAUUUUUUUAAAUAAAACGGACGGUAGCACGGAAAUCAGGGUU
rnacentral:pre_miRNA from 1 species